UUUUGAAUAUAUCCCACCAAACUGUCUGACGCAACGGCAGAAGUAAUUGAAAUUUGGAAUAAUAGGAAUUGUACAUGGCAUGACAAAUUCGGGGUGCCGUUGGCCACUGGACUAAUCGAAAAGGGGGUCGCGAGCCCGAAAAGGUUGGAAACCGCUGCUCUAAAAACAAUUGUGGCGCACAUACUCAAAUUUUGAGGAAAAUAUUCAAUUUGUUGGUCACUUGCCCCAUCGUACCGUAGAACAGCUCCGCAAGUGACCAUGAAAAGGUAUCUAUUCAUGUAACGGAACGUCCAGUCCCGCGACCAACAGUAGAAAGCCGGAAUACAUAACAAGCUCAGCCUUGGCGCUGCAAACGUGAGAUGGUACUUUCUUCUGGCCGGACCGAACUGGACCGGUCCAAAGAAGAUGUGUUUUGGAAGAAAACUACAUGCACUACCCCCGUCGUCAUCGUCCCCAGCGUCAUUACCGACCGAAAAGGACUUGCUGCUAUCGAGUUAUGGCGGAAACUUUUGGUCAAGUAAUUUA